rnacentral:tRNA from 1 species
GCUGGCGUAGCUCAAUCGGUAGAGCGCCAGUUUUGUAAACUGGUGGUUGUGGGUUCAAGUCCCGUCGCCAGCC